GCCAUAGCUUAGUGGAAGAGCACAUGAUUUGCAUGUAAAAGGCCCCAGGUUCAAUUACUGGUUUCUCCA